AAUCAAUUAAUACUUAGCCAUUAAGCUCUCUCUCUCUCUCUCUCUCUCUCUCUCUCUCUCAAAGUAUGAACCUAUAAAUAAACAAGAGCUACAUCAAUCUCAUUAGAUACUACCAAGCAAGCUACAUUGCAUUUUCAGCGAGAGAAAAAGGAAGCGAUAUCACCAGAGUGCUUUGCUUGAUUAAGAGACAAACAGAAGAGGAGAGAGAGAGAUGCCGCCACCUGGACCGGGAGGAGGCCCACCGGGCUUUGGUUGCUUAGGCGGUAUAUGCCGCCUUAUAUCAUCUUGUGCUUAUUUCCUGUGCUGCUGCUGCCUGUUGGAGAGCUGCUGUGGACCCAUGUUUGGUGGGGGAUUUGGUGGACCUGGUGGGCCCGGUGGUGGACCUGGUGGACCCGGUGGUGGACCUGGCGGGCCCCCUCGCUUUUGAAUAUGAGCUGGCUGCUGCUGCCUGUGAUCUUCUUCUGCAUAAUGUUGAAUUUCAAGUUCAAUAUAUAUAUAUAUGAUGUAAUAACAAGUGAGACAUGUUGGCAUGUUGCUGCUGUUUUUCCAACCUGCAACUCAAUAUUCUCCCUAUUUUAGUCCAUAUUUGUGUUUAUUUUGCAAUUUCUUUUUCAUUUAUUUUUUGUUUUUUGAGCAGAAUUAAUUAGUAUUAAUAUUAUGUAUUUUGUAACCUUUGUUUACCAGAUGAUCCACCAUCCAUGACAAUUAAAUAAAAUCUCUCCCUUUUUUUCCCA